rnacentral:rRNA from 1 species
AUGAGGGAUAUUGCGCAAUGGGGGAAACCCUGACGCAGCGACGCCGCGUGGGUGAAGAAGUCCUUCGGGAUGUAAAGCCCUUUUGUCGGGGACGAGACAGGACGGUACCCGACGAAUAAGCCCCGGCUAACUACGUGCCAGCAGCCGCGGUAAUACGUAGGGGGCAAGCGUUGUCCGGAUUUACUGGGCGUAAAGCGCGUGUAGGCGGAACGUUAAGUCUAGCUUGAAAGCCCCCGGCUCAACCGGGGAGAGUGGUUGGAAACUGGCGUUCUUGAGGUCGAUAGGGGAGAGUGGAAUUCCCGGUGUAGCGGUGAAAUGCAUAGAUAUCGGGAGGAACACCCGAGGCGAAGGCGGCUCUCUGGGUCGGACCUGACGCUGAGACGCGAAAGCGCGGGGAGCGAACGGGAUUAGAUACCCUUGUAGUCC